UUCUACCCUACACAUCUCCACUCACCAUCUCCAGAGCCCUAAUAUGGUUCCAAGUUAGGGUUUCUGGUGUUUGUGAGCCCCGUUCCAAGCUGUGCUCCGUCCACCCCACUCAAAACACUAAAGAUUCCGGCCGCCUCCACUCAAUUUCUACCACCUCCGGCGACAUACACGGUCACCUCCACUAAAAUGCAACCACUUCCGGUCAUCUCUGCUGAAAUCCGGUCACCUCUACUGAAAUCCGGCCAUCUCCACUGAAAUCCGAUCACCUCUACUGAAAUCCAGCCAUCUCCACUGAAAUCUGGUCACCUCUGCAUGUAGCAAUGAAGUUCAUGAUCAGCAGCUUUAUAAGAAGAACUAUCAGAGCAUAUGUAGUAAUGAAGUUCAUGAUCAGCAGCUUUAUAAAAAGAACUAUCAGAGCAUAUGUAGUAAUGAAGUUCAUGAUCGGCACUAUUCGAGAGUUGGUUCGAAAACCCGGAUUUUAGAAAUGAACUUCAAAACUUUUUGAGUUCAAGUUACCCGACAAAGUUUGGAAGCGAAGAUGUUGAUGGUGAAGAAGCGGAUGAUGGCAGCGAUGAUGACAUGGAUAUGAUUUAAAAUUAUGGCAUUUUAGAUGUUAAGUAGGUUUAUGACGUAUUAGUGACUUAAAACGAAUUCGGAUUGUGACGUUUAUGUAGUUUACGCUUAUGUAGUUUAUGCUUAUGUAGUUUAUGUUUG